GAUGAACGCUGGCGGCGUGCCUAACACAUGCAAGUCGAACGAAGCGCUUUGAAGUUUUCGGACAGAUGAGUGACUGAGUGGCGGACGGGUGAGUAACGCGUGGGUAACCUGCCUCAUACAGGGGGAUAACAGUUAGAAAUGACUGCUAAUACCGCAUAAGUGCACAGCUUCGCAUGAAGCAGUGUAAAAAACUCCGGUGGUAUGAGAUGGACCCGCGUCUGAUUAGCUAGUUGGUGGGGUAACGGCCUACCAAGGCGACGAUCAGUAGCCGGCCUGACGAGGGUGAACGGCCACAUUGGGACUGAGACACGGCCCAAAACUCCUACGGGAGCAGCAGUGGGGAAUAUUGCACAAAUGGGGGAAACCCUGAUGCAGCGACGCCGCGUGAGUGAAGAGUAUUUCGGAUGUAAAGCUCUAUCAAGCA
rnacentral:rRNA from 1 species